rnacentral:lncRNA from 1 species
UAUGGGGCUCAGAGCUAUGGGGCACCUAUGGGGCUCUGUGCUAUGGGCAGGGGGUUAUGAGGUAGUGCUUUGGGGCUCAGGCUUAUGGGGCACGCUAUGGGGCCAUCUGUUGCUAUGGGCCACUAUGGGGUCGAGCUAUGGGCUCGUGCUAUGGGGCACGCCUAUAGGGGCUCUGUUCCUUUGUCUGCUAUUGGGGCCGUAUGGGGCUCUGUGUUAUGGGAGACACUAUGGGGCUCAGAGCUAUGGGGCAGGGGGUUAUGGGGCUCUGUGCUAUGGGGCAGGGGGUUAUGGGGCACAGGGCUAUAGGGUGAUGUGCUAUGGGGCUCUAUGCUAUGGGGUGUGCUAUGGGGCACAGAGCUAUGCUAUGGGGUGUGCUAUGGGGCUCUAUGCUAUGGGGUGUGCUAUGGGGCACAGAGCUAUGGGGCUCUAUGCUAUGGGGUGCGCUAUGGGGCGCUAUGUUAUGGGGUGCUAUGCUAUGGGGCACACUAUGGGGUGCUACGCUAUGGGGCGCUGCUGUGGGGCUGGCCCCAUCCCCGCCGCCGUCAUCAAUGGGGCUGAGCAGCUCCGGCCCCACAAGUGGCGCCAUGUGGGGCUGACGGGACCUGUGGGGCACAGAGAGAGAUUGACCCCAUAGAGCCUGACCCAUAGAGACACAUAGGGACCUAUAGGGACCCAUAGAGACCCCAUAGAGCCCUGACCCACAGAUCCCACCCCAUAGAGACCCCAUAGUAACCCACAGAGACCCAUAGAGACCCCAUAGACCCCAUAGAGACCAAUAGAACCCCAUAGACCCCAUAGAGACCCAUAGAGACCCCAUAGAGACCCAUAGAGACCCAUAGAGACCCAUAGAGACCCCAUAGAGACCCCAUAUCAUCCUAUAUAACCCAAUAUCCCCCCAUAUCCCCCCAUAGAACCCCAUAGAGGCCCCAUAGAGACCCCAUAGACCCCAUAUAACCCCCAUAAACCCCAUAGACCCCAUAUAAACCCCAUAGAGCCCCAUAGAACCCCAUAUAAACCCCAUAGACACCAUAGAACCCCAUAUCACCCCAUAUCACCCAUAGACACCCCAUAGAGACCCCAUAUACCCCAUAUAACCACAUAGAGACCCAUAGGGACCCCAUAGAGACCCAUAGAGACCCCAUAGAGACCAAUAGAACCCCAUAGACCCCAUAGAGACCCAUAGAGACCCCAUAGAGACCCCAUAGAGACCCCAUAGAGCGCUGACCCACAGAUCCCACCCCAUAGAGACC